AUGAGAAGAACAGAGGGGGUUCGAUGGAGUCACCGCCAUCGCAAAACUCACCCGUAUCACUCGCCCCAGUUUAGGGUUUCAAGAUAUGAAACCCUAAGUCCCAAUCGCUUGCCACCGUCACUCUCGCUGUCUUCUGCCAUCGCCGCCGCCAUCGUCACCAUUGUCAAAACAUCACCGUGGUGC